rnacentral:rRNA from 1 species
CACGUAGGGGGCGAGCGUUGUCCGGAUUUAUUGGGCGUAAAGAGCUCGUAGGCGGUUCGGCAAGUCGAAUGUGAAAUCUCCACGCUCAACGUGGAGGGGUCAUUCGAUACUGCCGUGACUCGAGUCCGGUAGGGGAGUGUGGAAUUCCCGGUGUAGCGGUGAAAUGCGCAGAGAUCGGGAGGAACACCCGUAGCGAAGGCGGCACUCUGGGCCGGUACUGACGCUGAGGAGCGAAAGCGUGGGGAGCAAACAGG